rnacentral:rRNA from 1 species
UACGAAGGGUGCAAGCGUUAAUCGGAAUUACUGGGCGUAAAGAGCUCGUAGGUGGUUUGUCACGUCGCCUGUGAAAUUCCGGGGCUUAACCUCGGGCGUGCAGGCGAUACGGGCAAUACUUGAGUGCUGUAGGGGAGACUGGAAUUCCUGGUGUAGCGGUGAAAUGCGCAGAUAUCAGGAGGAACACCGGUGGCGAAGGCGGGUCUCUGGGCAGUAACUGACGCUGAGGAGCGAAAGCAUGGGUAGCGAACAGGAUUAGAUACCCG